GUGAGUGUUCAAGGGCGCAUGGUGGAUGCCUUGGCAUCAAGAGCCGAUGAAGGACGCGGUAAUCUGCGAUAAGCCUCGGGGAGUUGGUAAACGAGCUGUGAUCCGAGGGUGUCCGAAUGGGGGAACCUCGCUGCGUGUUGUGCGUAGUGACCACAGGGUGAAUGUAUAGCCUUGUUGGGGGUGACGUGGGGAAGUGAAACAUCUCAGUACCCAUAGGAAGAGAAAAUAAUAAUGAUUCUGUUAGUAGUGGCGAGCGAACGCGGAAGAGCCUAAACCGUGUGUGUGUCAAGCGUGCUGGUGUUGCAUGCGCGGUGUUGUGGGGCCAAUCGUCUCAGUUCAGCAUGGCUGGGGCAUGGAUGCAGUGUGGUAGGUGAACAGGUUGGGAAGCCUGACCGGAGUGGGUGAGAGUCCCGUAGCUGAAACUGUGCUGGUUUGUGUGUGUUGGUGCCCGAGUAGCACGGUACUCGUGGAAUGUCGUGUGAAUCUGCCAGGACCACCUGGUAAGGCUGAAUACUCUUGGUGACCGAUAGCGGAUAGUACCGUGAGGGAAUGGUGAAAAGUACCCCGGGAGGGGAGUGAAAGAGUACCUGAAACCGUGUGCCUACAAUCCGUCAGAGCCCUU
rnacentral:rRNA from 1 species